rnacentral:tRNA from 3 species
GCACCCGUAGUUCAACUGGAUAGAAUACCAGGCUUCGAACCUGGGGGUUGUAGGUUCGAGUCCUACCGGGUGCGCCA